AUUGAACGCUGGCGGAAUGCUUUACACAUGCAAGUCGAGCGGCAGCGCGGGGGCAACCCUGGCGGCGAGCGGCGAACGGGUGAGUAAUAUAUCGGAACGUACCCCGUCGUGGGGGAUAACACAGCGAAAGCUGUGCUAAUACCGCAUACGACCUGAGGGUGAAAGCGGGGGAUCGCAAGACCUCGCGCGAUGGGAGCGGCCGAUAUCGGAUUAGCUUGUUGGUGAGGUAAAGGCUCACCAAGGCGACGAUCCGUAGCUGGUCUGAGAGGACGACCAGCCACACUGGAACUGAGACACGGUCCAGACUCCUACGGGAGGCAGCAGUGGGGAAUUUUGGACAAUGGGGGGCAACCCUGAUCCAGCCAUUCCGCGUGAGUGAAGAAGGCCUUCGGUUGUAAGCUCUUUCAGCAGGAACGAAACGGUAGG
rnacentral:rRNA from 1 species